CAUCCGUUUUUCUGCUCGUUCGAUCCUUGUGUCGUGAUUCGUGCUUUCCUCUUUUUUUUCCCUACCUCGAGGUGUUUUGUUUGUUAUCGGGCCCGCAACCUUCUCCUGGAGACCCGUUAAUCGGGGGGCGGGUAGCGUGUCGCAGACGGGUUCUCCCCUCGAAUUUCCUUUUUUUUCCUCUGCUGACUUUGUCCGUUUUCUUCCCCAUUUCCAGCGGCGCGAGCUUGAGGCAUUGAUUCAUGGCGAUUUUUGGUUAAGAGAUCUCAGUCGCUGAUCUCUCGAGGGCGAGCCGGUGGCUAGGCAUCCGGUCCUCCUCCCCCCUCCCCCCUCCCGUCCCCUGCUUCAUUGUCCUCAAACGCGCGCAGAGAGAGAGGCGAAAUCGAUGCCAUGGUGAUCCGGCUGCGCUGUCUUCUCUGCUUCGCUUGACUUCGCGCCACUCCUCAUCUUCCUCGUGUGGAUCUGCGAACCCUGUGUACCCCUCCUCAUCCUCCAUCCAUGGUUGGUUUUGUAAGUAUCCUUGCCCCCUGUGUUCCUCCCCCUGCUUUUUCUGUUCGAUUUUUGCUAGAUCCGGCGAAUCCUAUAGGUUUCCCUGUGUUGCCGUGGUUCCUAGAUGUUUUGGAUGUUGCAGGUUUGAGGUUCGAUGUGUAUGUAGUGGUGGAUCCUUCCUGUGUAUUGUUGAUUUUUUGUGCUUCCAGAUUCCGCUCUAGUUGCCAUUGUGAAGAAUAGCUCCUAGUUGUGUUCAAUUUCUUUAGUGGAUCCCUCUUGUAGUUGUCGCUGUGGAUCCCUCCUGGUUGGUUGUAGGUGCUGAACUCCUAGGUGUGUACCAUCCCUCCUGUAGUUGUCGCUACGGACCCCUCCAGUUUGGAUGUAUAUGCUGAAUCUAGCUCAUAGUUUGUAUGAAUAUAUAAAAUCAGUGUAAUCACAGCUAAUUUAAUGUGAUUACACUGUGUUCAAGUCUCCUCAUGUGUAUUUAUUAGAAAUCCAGUGUAAUUUCACUGAAAUUUGCAUUGUAAAUACAGUGUAUGUUUCAGUGAAUUUUCAGUGUAAUUAUUGUGGGCAUUUUCACUGGAAUUACAGUGCUUUCGAAUCAUAAUUACAGUGGUAAUUUCGGUGCAAUUACAGUGAAGAUAUUAGUGUGUAUUCCUAGUGGUUUUACACUGUAAUUCUCAGUGGAUUUACAGUGUAAUUUCUUUAGUACUUUAGGUGAUCUUUUGUAGUGUAAUUCUCAGUGCAUUUUCAAUGUAUCCUUAGUGCAUUUUGUAAUGUAAUUCUUUAGUGGGUUCAGAGGAUUCUUAGUGGAUUUACAAUGUAAGCUUAAGUGGAUUUACACUAGUUUUUAGUGGAUUUGCACUAUAAUUUCCAAUGGACUUGCAUCUUAACUCUUGAUUUUUACAGUGUAAUUUUCAGUGGAUUUACACUGUAGUUUUUAGUGGAUUUGCACUGUAAUUUCCGGUGGACUUGCAUUGUAACGCUUGAUUUUUACAGUGUAAUUUUCAGUGGAUUUACAUUGUAGUUUUUAGUAGAUUUGCACUGUAAUUUCCAGUGGAUUUACAUUGUAGUUUUUAGUAGAUUUGCACUGUAAUUUCCAGCGGACUUGCAUUGUAACUCUUUAUUUUUACAGUGUAAUUUUCAGUGGAUUUAGAAUGCAAUUUUUAGUGGAUUUACCGAUUUAGACUGUAAUUUUCCAGUGGAAUUUGCACUUUAACUCUUGAUUAUUUCAGUGUAAUUUUCAGUGGAUUUACUUUGUAGUUUUUAGUGGAUUUACACUGUGACUUUCAGUGGUAUUUACACUGUAAUUCUUGAUAUUUUUCAGUGUAAUUUCAGUGGAUUUACAUUGUAGUUUUUAGUAGAUUUGCACUGUAAUUUCCAGUGGAUUUACAUUGUAGUUUUUAGUAGAUUUGCACUGUAAUUUCCAGCAGACUUGCAUUGUAACUCUUGAUUUUUACAGUGUAAUUUUCAGUGGAUUUACAAUGCAAUUUUUAGGGGAUUUACCGAUUUAGACUGUAAUUUUCCAGUGGAAUUUGCACUGUAACUCUUGAUUAUUUCAGUGUAAUUUUCAGUGGAUUUACACUGUGAUUUUCAGUGUUAUUUACACUGUAAUUCUUAAUAUUUUUCAGUGUAAUUUCAGUGGAUUUACACUGUAAUCCUUAGUGCUUUUGGGUAGGGACGGUAUUUUACCCUUUUGUAAUCUGCAUUUGAGUAGGGGUUGGAUUAUCUUUGUAUUAUAUUUAGUGGAAUUCUUAUUGGAUUUACACUGUAUCUCUCAGUGGACUUACACCGUAAUUUUUUGUGGGUUUUACAGUGUAGUUCCAGGAUUUUAAAGUGUAAUUCUUAUUGGAUUUACACUGUAACUCUCAGUGGACUUGCACUGUUUUGUUGAGUAAACAAGAUUUGUUAAUGCUAUAAGAGAGACAUGCAUUGAGGAACUUAGCUUCAUCAUGUUUGAGGUACAAGUUUCUGGCCCUUCAUGCUUGUUUCCAUCCCAUUUGAUUCCAUUGCAGGCACCUGUAAAUCUUGUUUGCCCCUUUUUUUCAGUUGAUAGGCUUAAUUGAUAUGAAUUGAUCAUUUUAUUACUUCCUAUGUGUACUCAUUUGUAUUUACAAAUAGUAGUUUGUAGCAAUUUGAUCUUCAAGUAGGAAAGAAAGGUCUUUCUAUGUAGUUCCAAAGUUUAUAAAAUUCAGUCCUAGUUUCUUUACUUUCUUGUAAAUGAGUUAUUUUGUAAUCAUGAUCUAAGUUUCUGAUUAGUGUAUAGUUUGUGUGUGCCAAAGUUUCUGAAUUACAGUCCUAGCUUUAUGAAAAUAUAGCAUUUCUAACCUGUUUGUUCAAGGAUUUUCCUAACUUUUUGUAUUUUAUCUCCCAGAACAUGUGAUCCCUAUCUUCUUUAUACUCAUUUCCAUGUGUUGUAACUGUUGUUUUCAAUUCAGAAACUUCCUAGUAGUUCUAAAAUUCAUGAAUUUAACAUGGAUUUUUUGUUUCCUAACCUUUCUGCUCGUGCACCCCUAGACUCAUAGGAUCCUAGGGUUCUUCCUGGAUCUAGUUUAAUUAUUGGUUCUAGUGUAAACUUCCAGAAUCCAUCCUUUUUUGAGUUUAUUUGUCUCUGCAGCAUGUAUAUAUAAUGGUUCACAGUCGCCCUUUAUUUGAUUUCUGAUGUAGACAGGCAGGGGGGAGAGAUCUGCCUAAAUCAUACUUAGUAUGUGGUGAUUGCAAAAUUGGGGUUGUUUACCUGUGCUUAGUCAUCUUCAGCAGAGUGGAUCGUCUUCGGGUUUCUGUCCCAGAUCAUGGAGGAAUCGCCCUCUUGGUUGGCACUUAUUCCCGUUUCCUCUAGCUAUUCUCCCCCCUCCAUGUUCUUCCCCUCUACAGUGCAUUUUUGUAGUGGAUAUUACACUGAAAAUAAUAGUGGAGUUAUUAUUGUAAUUUUAUAGCUUUUCAAUGUAAUUUUUAGUGCUCCAGAGCUUAAUUUGUCAUGGCAUUUUAGGUGUGUGUGCUUAGAUGACAUCAUCCUGAUCCUUUCCUUUUCUUUUCGUAUUGCUUUAGCUUAGUGCACAUGUACAUGGUAAAGCUUGCCUGUAACUUUGGGUUUUUUUGCC